GGCCUGAUAGCAUAACGGUUAAUGCGCUUGCUUCAAGUGGCUCAGCCAUUUGGUAAUUAAGCAGGAGUUCCUCGUUCAAUUCGGGGUCAGGUUA